GGGCCCGCACAAGCGGUGGAGCAUGUGGUUUAAUUCGAUGCAACGCGAAGAACCUUACCUACUCUUGACAUCUACAGGAUCCUGCGGAGACGCGGGAGUGCCUUCGGGAACUGUAAGACAGGUGCUGCAUGGCUGUCGUCAGCUCGUGUUGUGAAAUGUUGGUUAAGUCCCGCAACGAGCGCAACCCUUAUCCUUGUUUGCCAGCGAGUAAUGUCGGGAACUCCAGGGAGACUGCCGGUGAUAAACCGGAGGAAGGUGGGGACGACGUCAAGUCAUCAUGGCCCUUACGAGUAGGGCUACACACGUGCUACAAUGGCGCAUACAGAGGGCAGCAAACUCGCGAGAGCUAG
rnacentral:rRNA from 1 species